rnacentral:snoRNA from 1 species
GACCUUUCAGGGUCGAACCUGGAGAGUUUCCAGUCCUCUACCAGUCACGACUACAGGAGGGAGAGUCAAGCAGAGGCCUGCCCAUUCCAUUCCUAGCUUGGGCAGUGGCUAGCGAGUGGAAGGCAAUCUGCUACGAGU